rnacentral:rRNA from 1 species
AUUGAACGCUGGCGGCGUGCUUAACACAUGCAAGUCGAGCGGUAACAGGUGUAGCAAUACAUGCUGACGAGCGGCGAACGGGUGAGUAAUGCUUCGGAAUCUUCCUCGUAGUGGGGAAUAACCUGGGGAAACUCAGGCUAAUACCGCAUACGAACUACGGUUGAAAGCAGGGGAUCGCAAGACCUUGCGCUAUGAGAUGAGCCGAAGUCGGAUUAGCUAGUUGGUGAGGUAAAGGCUCACCAAGGCGACGAUCCGUAGCUGGUCUGAGAGGACGACCAGCCACACUGGGACUGAGACACGGCCCAGACUCCUACGGGAGGCAGCAGUGGGGAAUAUUGGACAAUGGGGGGCAACCCUGAUCCAGCGACGCCGCGUGUGUGAAGAAGGCCUGCGGGUUGUAAAGCACUUUUAGUGGGGAUGAAAAGCCAAGGGCUAAUACCCUUUGGUCUUGACCUAACCCAAAGAAAAAGCAACCGGCUAAACUCUGUGCCAGCAGCCGCGGUAAU